UGGUCCAGGUCGCUGUAACACCCUGGAUCAGAGCUAGGUGAUGCUGGUCUGUUGUUCACUAGCUCUGGUCCAGGUCGCUGUAACACCCUGGACCAGAGCUAGGUAAUGCUGGUCUGUUGUUCACUAGCUCUGGUCCAGGUCGCUGUAACACCCUGGACCAGAGCUAGGUAAUGCUGGUUUGUUGUUCACUAGCUCUGGUCCAGGUCGCUGUAAAACCCUGGACCAGAGCUUGGUAAUGCUGGUCUGUUGUUCACUAGUUCUGGUCCAGGUCGCUGUAACACCCUGGACCAGAGCUAGGUAAUGCUGGUCUGUUGUUCACUAGCUCUGGUCCAGGUCGCUGUAACACCCUGGACCAGAGCUAGGUAAUGCUGGUCUGUUGUUCACUAGCUCUGGUCCAGGUCGCUGUAAAACCCUGGACCAGAGCUAGGUAAUGCUGGUCUGUUGUUCACUAGCUCUGGUCCAGGUCGCUGUAACACCCUGGAUCAGAGCUAGGUGAUGCUGGUCUGUUGUGUUGGUCUGCUUUGUGGCUCAGUGCUGCUGUAUGGUGCCGUGUUACUCUGUUGAAAUAAGCACGUUGUGUGUAGCAGACACAUACAGCGCAUUUGGAAAGUAUUCAGACCCCUUGACUUUUUCUACAUUUUGUUUAGGUUACAGCCUUAUUCUAAAAUGGAAUAAAUAGAUGUUUUUUCCCUCAAUCUUCACACAAUAUCCCAUAAUGACAAAGCUAAUUUAUCAUUUAAAAAAGUACUUUGUUGAAGCACCUUUGGCAGCGAUUACAGCCUCGAGUCUUCUUGGGUAUGACGCUACAAGCUUGGCGCACCUGUAUUUGGGGAGUUUCUCCUGUUCUUCUCUACAGAUCCUCAAGCUCUGUCAGGUUAGAUGGGGAGCGUCACUGCAUAGCUAUUUUCAGGUCUCUUCAGAGAUGUUUGAUCGGGUUCAAGUCCAGGCUCUGGCUGGGCCACUCAAGAACAUUCAGAGACUUGUGCAGAAGCCACUCCUGCGUUGUCUUGGCUGUGUGCUUUGGGUCGUUGUCCUGUUGGAAGGUGAACCUUCACCCCAGUCUGAGGUCCUGAGCGCUCUGGAGCAGGUUUUCAUCAAGGAUCUCUCUGUACUUUACUCCAUUCAUCUUUCCCUCGAUCCUCACUAGUCUCCCAGUCCCUUCGGCUGGGAAACAUCCCAACAGCAUGAUGCUGCCACCACCAUGCUUCGCCGUAGGGAUGGUGCCAGGUUUCCACCAGAUGUGACGCUUGGCAUUCAGGCCAACGAGUUCAAUGUUGGUUUCAUCAGACCAGAGAAUCUUGUUUAUCAUGAUCUGAGAGUCCUUUAGGUGCCUUUUGACAAAUUCCAAGCGGGCUGUCAUGUGCCUUUUACUGAGGAGUGGCUUCCAUCUGGCCACUCUACCAUAAAGGUCUGAUUGGUGGAGUGCUGCAGAAAUGGUUGUCCUUCUAGAAGGUUCUCCCAUUUCCACAGAGGAACUCUGGAGCUGUCAGAGUGACCAUUGGGUUCUUGCUCACCUCCCUGAUCAAGGCCCUUCUCCCCCGAUUGCUCAGUUUGGCCGGGCAAUCAGCUCUAGGAAGAGUCUUGUUGGUUCCAAACUUCUUCCAUUUAAGAAUGAUGGAGGCCACUGUGUUCUUGGGGACCUUCAAUGCUGCAGAAAUGUUUUGGUACCCUUCCUCAGAUCUGCACCUCGACACAAUCAUGUCUAUGAGCUCUACGGACAAUUCCUUUGACCUCAUGGCUUGGUUUUUGCUCUGACAUGCACUGGUUACUGUGUGACCUUAUAAAGGCCGGUGUGUGCCUUUCCAAAUCAUGUCCUAUCAAUUGAAUUGACCACAGGUGGACUCCAAUCAAUGGAAACAGUUUCGAGUCUAAUAGGAAAAGGGUCUGAAUUUUUAUACAUUUACAAAAAUGUCUAAACUGUUUUCACUUUGUCAUUAUGGGGUAUUGUGUGUAGAUUGAUGAGGUGGAAAACAUAAAAAAAAAAAAUAAGACUAACGUAACAAUGUGGAACAAGUGAAGGGGUCUGAAUACUUUCAUAAUGUAAUGUCCUCUGUUUAAAGGGUUGUUUUCUAGCCUGGAUACCAGUGUGUUUGUGCAGUCAUGCUGCUCUUUGUUUGACUAGAACACGUCUGGGACCAGACUAGUGUUCUUCAUUAUGUUCUUUGCUGAUUUGAAAUGUGGUUUCAUGCAGAGGACACCCUUUCAUUCAGGACAGAGGAUCUGAAAAAGACCCUUUGAAUGCAGUCCUAUUGAACAGUUCUGCUUGGUUUACAGUCCACUCAUGGAAACAUCAUGAAUAUUGUCUUUAAAAAAAUAAAAUAGCUUGUUGGAAUUGAUUUAAGGAAUACUUCUGUAUUUUCACUGAGGCCCUUUAUCUAGUUCCCCAGAGUCAGAUGAAUUUGUGGAUACCAUUUGUCUGCAUGCAGUUUCCUGCUAACAGAUGUCAGACUUCCAGUCGUUGCGCUAACGCUAGUUAUUAUUGGCUCACAAAACUUCCUAUAACAUCCUUCAUAAAGAGACGUAAAAACUAUAUCCAUGAGUUCAUCUGACUCUGUGGAAGUCGGGGCCUGAAGUGUCCGUUUGAGGGUUAAUAAAGUCACCAAAUUGAAAUAAAAGGCAGACUGAACUCA